rnacentral:lncRNA from 1 species
GGGGGGGGGGGAUGGAAACGUGCACAAUAAAACCAAAAUAGAAGGGGACAUUCAAAAGUUAUAUUCAGGUGGGGUUUAUAAGUCGAUGAUUCUAUAACUUUACAAAAUAAGAUCUUCUUGGAUAUUGCUUUCAAUUUUGGACGCAGGAGGACUUCAUCUUCUCACUCGCAAAAGUUACGCAAAAUUCAAAGACGAUAGAGAUCACGAGUAGAACAAAAUGACG